rnacentral:rRNA from 1 species
AGAGUUUGAUCAUGGCUCAGAUUGAACGCUGGCGGCAUGCUUUACACAUGCAAGUCGAACGGGGGUGGGGGCAACUCCACUUCAGUGGCGAACGGGUGAGUAAUGCAUCGGAACGUGUCCCGUAGUGGGGGAUAACGCCGCGAAAGCGGCGCUAAUACCGCAUACGCUCUGUGGAGGAAAGCCGGGGACCCGCAAGGGCCUGGUGCUAGGGGAGCGGCCGAUGUCCGAUUGGCUAGUUGGUGGGGUAAUGGCUUACCAAGGCAACGAUCGGUAGCUGGUCUGAGAGGAUGAUCAGCCACACUGGGACUGAGACACGGCCCAGACUCCUACGGGAGGCAGCAGUGGGGAAUUUUGGACAAUGGGGGCAACCCUGAUCCAGCCAUGCCGCGUGCGGGAAGAAGGCCUUCGGGUUGUAAACCGCUUUUAGCCGGGAAGAAAAGGCGCGGGCUAAUACCCUGUGUUUUUGACGGUACCGGCGGAAUAAGCACCGGCUAACUACGUGCCAGCAGCCGCGGUAAUAC